rnacentral:rRNA from 1 species
AUUGAACGCUGGCGGCGUGCUUAACACAUGCAAGUUGAUCGGUAACGCGGGGGCAACCCUGGCGACGAGAGGCGGACGGGUGAGGAACGCUUGGGAAUCUGCCUAUCAGCGGGGGACAACACGGGGAAACUCGUGCUAAUACCGCAUACGCUCUACGGAGGAAAGCCGGGGACCGCAAGGCCUGGCACUGAUAGAUGAGCCCAAGCCGGAUUAGCUAGUUGGCGGGGUAACGGCCCACCAAGGCGACGAUCCGUAGCUGGUCUGAGAGGACGAUCAGCCACACUGGGACUGAGACACGGCCCAGACUCCUACGGGAGGCAGCAGUGGGGAAUAUUGGACAAUGGGGGAAACCCUGAUCCAGCGACGCCGCGUGGGUGAAGAAGGCCUGCGGGUUGUAAAGCCCUUUCGGUAGUGACGAAAGCUCUCGACCUAACACGUCGGGAGGUUGACUUAACCUACAAAAGAAGCACCGGCUAACUCUGUGCCAGCCGCCGCGGUAAGAC